rnacentral:rRNA from 1 species
CCCUUAGAUGUUCUGGGCCGCACGCGCGCUACACUGACGGAGCCAACGAGUAUUUUCCUUGUCCGGAAGGACUGGGUAAUCUUGUGAAACUUUGUCGUGCUGGGGAUAGAGCAUUGUAAUUAUUGCUCUUCAACGAGGAAUUCCUAGUAAGCGUGAGUCAUCAGCUCGCGUUGAUUACGUCCCUGCCCUUUGUACACACCGCCCGUCGCUACUACCGAUUGAAUGGCUUAGUGAGCCCUUGGGAUUGGCAGCCAACACCGGCAACGGUAGCUGGCCGCCGAAAACUUAUGCAAACUUGGUCAUUUAGAGGAAGUAAAAGUCGUAACA